rnacentral:tRNA from 1 species
GAUCUUUUGGCUGAUAUAAGUAACUGUUUUGAAAGCAGUGUAAGGUGGUUUAAUCCACCAAAGAUCU